UAUGCAAUUGCUACAUUACAAUCGGGCAUUCACUCAAGUAUUCUUUACGAGUCUCUGCCAAGUAUCUCGAACAUUGAAUUCGUAGAAAAAAUGGAAGAAAAAUUUUUGAUUCAUCGCUAUUAGAGUGCUGCAAUCAGAGUAAAUUUUCGCCUGGCUGAUUUUCUACGAGGUACCGGUUGUAAAUGCGUUGCACGUACGUGCGAACGUCAGUCCUGUAUUAUCCAAUUACAAGACACUCAACUAGAGGUAUACAGGCGGGCAAGGACGUGGAGAAGGCUUCGCGUGGAAUCUCAAAAAAAUUGUGACUUCAUUCGAGUUCAACGUUGAAAUGCUCACGACAUUGGACAUUUUUACUCCACAUUUGUCACCAAUUUAAAUUGGCCGCUUAUUGCGAUUGCACGUGUGACACAUGUCUGUGCAGCCACGAGGGAAGAGACGUCAAAAGGAAAACAAGUCACCACUGACAUGUGAGAGCAAAAUAAAGGAGAAUGUUUACUGUAAUGAACCCAACUCACCUCUAUAUUUCCCAUUGUUUGAAAAGCAGUGAACACCAGCAUAAAUCCACAACUCAAGAGCAAUACGUUCAAGAAUCUCUUGUCAAUCUCCAUGAUUAUUUAUAAAUUACACUGAUCACGAUUGUCGAAAAAAUUUCAAUAAAUCUUGAAAAUCUUA